rnacentral:rRNA from 1 species
UACGAAGGGGGCUAGCGUUGUUCGGAAUCACUGGGCGUAAAGGGCGCGUAGGCGGCCUGAUAAGUCGGGGGUGAAAGCCUUGUGGCUCAACCACAGAAUUGCCUUCGAUACUGUUAGGCUUGAGACCGGAAGAGGUAAGUGGAACUGCGAGUGUAGAGGUGAAAUUCGUAGAUAUUCGCAAGAACACCAGUGGCGAAGGCGGCUUACUGG